rnacentral:rRNA from 1 species
GACGAACGCUGGCGGCGUGCUUAACACAUGCAAGUCGAACGGAAAGGCCCUGCUAUUGUGGGGUGCUCGAGUGGCGAACGGGUGAGUAACACGUGAGUAACCUGCCCUUGACUUUGGGAUAACUUCAGGAAACUGGGGCUAAUACCGGAUAGGAGCCCCUGCUGCAUGGUAGGGGUUGGAAAGUUUCGGCGGUUGGGGAUGGACUCGCGGCUUAUCAGCUUGUUGGUGGGGUAGUGGCUUACCCAGGCUUUGACGGGUAGCCGGCCUGAGAGGGUGACCGGCCACAUUGGGACUGAGAUACGGCCCAGACUCCUACGGGAGGCAGCAGUGGGGAAUAUUGCACAAUGGGCGGAAGCCUGAUGCAGCAACGCCGCGUGCGGGAUGACGGCCUUCGGGUUGUAAACCGCUUUCGCCUGUGACGAAGCGUGAGUGACGGUAAUGGGUAAAGAAGCACCGGCUAACUACGUG